GGUUAAGCGACUAAGCGUACACGGUGGAUGCCCUGGCAGUCAGAGGCGAUGAAGGACGUGCUAAUCUGCGAAAAGCGUCGGUAAGGUGAUAUGAACCGUUAUAACCGGCGAUGUCCGAAUGGGGAAACCCAGUGCAAUUCGUUGCACUAUCGUUAACUGAAUACAUAGGUUAACGAGGCGAACCGGGGAACUGAAACAUCUAAGUACCCCGAGGAAAAGAAAUCAACCGAGAUUCCCCCCAGUAGCGGCGAGCGAACGGGGAGCAGCCCAGAGUCUGAAUCAGCUUGUGUGUUAGUGGAACGGUCUGGAAAGUCCGACGGUACAGGGUGAUAGUCCCGUACACCAAAAUGCACAGGCUGUGAACUCGAAGAGUAGGGCGGGACACGUGGUAUCCUGUCUGAAUAUGGGGACCAUCCUCCAAGGCUAAAUACUCCUGACUGACCGAUAGUGAACCAGUACCGUGAGGGAAAGGCGAAAAGAACCCCGGCGAGGGGAGUGAAAAAGAACCUGAAACCGUGUACGUACAAGCAGUGGGAGCACCUUCGGGUGUGACUGCGUACCUUUUGUAUAAUGGGUCAGCGACUUAUAUUCUGUAGCAAGGUUAACCGUAUAGGGGAGCCGCAGGAAACCGAGUCUUAACUGGGCGUUAAGUUGCAGGGUAUAGACCCGAAACCCGGUGAUCUAGCCAUGGGCAGGUUGAAGGUUGGGUAACACUAACUGGAGGACCGAACCGACUAAUGUUGAAAAAUUAGCGGAUGACUUGUGGCUGGGGUGAAAGGCCAAUCAAACCGGGAGAUAGCUGGUUCUCCCCGAAAGCUAUUUAGGUAGCGCCUCGUGAACUCAUCUUCGGGGUAGAGCACUGUUUCGGCUAGGGGUCAUCCCGACUUACCAACCCGAUGCAAACUACGAAUACCGAAGAAUGUUAUCACGGGAGACACACGGCGGGUGCUAACGUCCGUCGUGAAGAGGAAACAACCCAGACCGCCAGCUAAGGUCCCAAAGUCAUGGUUAAGUGGGAAACGAUGUGGGAAGGCACAGACAGCCGGGGAUGUUGGCUUAGAAGCAGCCAUCAUUUAAAGAAAGCGUAAUAGCUCACUGGUCGAGUCGGCCUGCGCGGAAGAUGUAACGGGGCUAAACCAUGCACCGAAGCUGCGGCAGCGACACUAUGUGUUGUUGGGUAGGGGAGCGUUCUGUAAGCCUGCGAAGGUGUGCUGUGAGGCAUGCUGGAGGUAUCAGAAGUGCGAAUGCUGACAUAAGUAACGAUAAAGCGGGUGAAAAGCCCGCUCGCCGGAAGACCAAGGGUUCCUGUCCAACGUUAAUCGGGGCAGGGUGAGUCGACCCCUAAGGCGAGGCCGAAAGGCGUAGUCGAUGGGAAACAGGUUAAUAUUCCUGUACUUGGUGUUACUGCGAAGGGGGACGGAGAAGGCUAUGUUAGCCGGGCGACGGUUGUCCCGGUUUAAGCAUGUAGGCUGAUUGUCCAGGCAAAUCCGGAUAAUCAAGGCUGAGGUGUGAUGACGAGGCACUACGGUGCUGAAGUAACAAAUGCCCUGCUUCCGAGGAAAAGCCUCUAAGCAUCAGGUAACAUCAAAUCGUACCCCAAACCGACACAGGUGGUCAGGUAGAGAAUACCAAGGCGCUUGAGAGAACUCGGGUGAAGGAACUAGGCAAAAUGGUGCCGUAACUUCGGGAGAAGGCACGCUGGUGUGUAGGUGAAGUCCCUGCGGAUGGAGCUGAGACCAGUCGAAGAUACCAGCUGGCUGCAACUGUUUAUUAAAAACACAGCACUGUGCAAACACGAAAGUGGACGUAUACGGUGUGACGCCUGCCCGGUGCCGGAAGGUUAAUUGAUGGGGUUAUCCGUAAGGAAGCUCUUGAUCGAAGCCCCGGUAAACGGCGGCCGUAACUAUAACGGUCCUAAGGUAGCGAAAUUCCUUGUCGGGUAAGUUCCGACCUGCACGAAUGGCGUAAUGAUGGCCGGGCUGUCUCCACCCGAGACUCAGUGAAAUUGAACUCGCUGUGAAGAUGCAGUGUACCCGCGGCAAGACGGAAAGACCCCGUGAACCUUUACUAUAGCUUGACACUGAACAUUGAGCCUUGAUGUGUAGGAUAGGUGGGAGGCUUUGAAGCGUGGACGCCAGUCUGCGUGGAGCCAACCUUGAAAUACCACCCUUUAAUGUUUGAUGUUCUAACGUUGGCCCCUGACCGGGGUUGCGGACAGUGUCUGGUGGGUAGUUUGACUGGGGCGGUCUCCUCCCAAAGCGUAACGGAGGAGCACGAAGGUUAGCUAAUCCCCGGUCGGACAUCAGGAGGUUAGUGCAAUGGCAUAAGCUAGCUUGACUGCGAGCGUGACGGCGCGAGCAGGUGCGAAAGCAGGUCAUAGUGAUCCGGUGGUUCUGAAUGGAAGGGCCAUCGCUCAACGGAUAAAAGGUACUCCGGGGAUAACAGGCUGAUACCGCCCAAGAGUUCAUAUCGACGGCGGUGUUUGGCACCUCGAUGUCGGCUCAUCACAUCCUGGGGCUGAAGUAGGUCCCAAGGGUAUGGCUGUUCGCCAUUUAAAGUGGUACGCGAGCUGGGUUUAGAACGUCGUGAGACAGUUCGGUCCCUAUCUGCCGUGGGCGCUGGAGAAUUGAGGGGGCUGCUCCUAGUACGAGAGGACCGGAGUGGACGCAUCACUGGUGUUCGGGUUGUCAUGCCAAUGGCACUGCCCGGUAGCUAAAUGCGGAAGAGAUAAGUGCUGAAAGCAUCUAAGCACGAAACUUGCCCCGAGAUGAGUUCUCCCUGAGACUUUAAGUCUCCUGAAGGAACGUUAAAGACGAUGACGUUGAUAGGCCGGGUGUGUAAGCGCAGCGAUGCGUUGAGCUAACCGGUACUAAUGAACCGUGAGGCUUAACCUU
rnacentral:rRNA from 1 species